rnacentral:rRNA from 1 species
AUUACCCAAUACGGACACCGUGAGGUAGUGACAAGAAAUAACAAUACAGGGCUUAUAGUCUUGUAAUUGGAAUGAUGGGAAUCUAAACCCUUCCCAGAGUAUCAAUUGGAGGGCAAGUCUGGUGCCAGCAGCCGCGGUAAUUCCAGCUCCAAUAGCGUAUAUUAAAGUUGUUGCAGUUAAGAAGCUCGUAGUUGAAUUUCUGCCUUGUCUUUGGACUCGCUUCCAAGCGUUUUCCAUUCGACUUGGCAUCUUUCUGGAUCUUGUUGCUUGCAGCUUUUUCCAGUUUUUUACUUUGAGAAAACUAGAGUGUUUCAAACAGGCCAUUCGCCUUGAAUACUACAGCACGGAAUAAUAAAGUAGGACUUUGGUUCUAUUUUGUUGGUUUCAGGACCAAAGUAAUGGUUAAUAGGAGCAGUUGGGGGCAUUCGUAUUUAA